UACGAAGGGGGCUAGCGUUGUUCGGAAUUACUGGGCGUAAAGCGCACGUAGGCGGAUUUGCCAGUCAGGGGUGAAAUCCCGGGGCUCAACCUCGGAACUGCCUCUGAUACAGCAAGUCUUGAGUCCGGAAGAGGUGGGUGGAAUUCCUAGUGUAGAGGUGAAAUUCGUAGAUAUUAGGAAGAACACCAGUGGCGAAGGCGGCCCACUGGUCCGGUACUGACGCUGGGGUGCGAAAGCGUGGGGAGCAAACAGG
rnacentral:rRNA from 1 species